rnacentral:rRNA from 1 species
ACGGUAGCUAAUACCGCAUAAUCUCUCAGGAGCAAAGCAGGGGAACUUCGGUCCUUGCGCUAUCGGAUGAACCCAUAUGGGAUUAGCUAGUAGGUGAGGUAAUGGCUCACCUAGGCGACGAUCCCUAGCUGGUCUGAGAGGAUGAUCAGCCACACUGGGACUGAGACACGGCCCAGACUCCUACGGGAGGCAGCAGUGGGGAA